UUUUGGUGAGGAGAUCAGCCCUGUGCUAACAUCUGCCAAUUCUCCUCUUUUUUUGCUGAGGAAGACUGGCCCUGGGCUAACAUCCGUGCCCAUCUUCCUCCACUUUAUAUGGGACACCGCCAGCCACAGCAUGGCUUGCCAAGUAGUGAGUUGGUGCGUGCCUGGGAUACGAACCGGCGAACCCCGGGCCACCGCAGCGGAGCGCGCACACUUAACCGCUUGCGCCACCAGGCCAGCCCCCCAGAUGCACCUCCUUCUCAGAGUGGUGAUGGUCUAAGGCUCCUCGCACCUCACCUGCACAGAUAAGGUUCAAAAUCUGCAGGGCAGGCUGGCAGGCUGGAGAUCCAGUUGAUACUGCAACUCAAGUUAAAAGGCAGUCGAGAGGCUGAAUUCCUUCUUCCUUGGAGGACUUCAGUCUUUGUCUCUUAAGACCUUCAACUGAUUGGAUAAGACCCACCUACAUUA